rnacentral:rRNA from 1 species
UGAGGAAUAUUGGUCAAUGGGCGCAAGCCUGAACCAGCCAUCCCGCGUGAAGGAAGAAGGCCCUAUGGGUUGUAAACUUCUUUUCCAGGGGGUGAAUAAUUCCGAUGUAUCGGGAGAUGACGGUACCCUAGGAAUAAGCAUCGGCUAACUCCGUGCCAGCAGCCGCGGUAAUACGGAGGAUGCGAGCGUUAUCCGGAUUUAUUGGGUUUAAAGGGUGCGUAGGCGGAACAAUAAGUCAGUGGUGAAAGACUGCAGCUUAACUGUGGACUUGCCGUUGAUACUGUUGAUCUUGAGUAUGGUCAAGGCAGGCGGAAUGUGUAAUGUAGCGGUGAAAUGCUUAGAUAUUACACAGAACACCGAUUGCGAAGGCAGCUUGCUGGGCCAUUACUGACGCUGAUGCACGAAAGCGUGGGGAUCGAACAG